GCACUGAUUGGUGCAUUUACAAACCUUGAGCUAGACACAGGGUGCUGAUUGGUGUGUUUACAAUCCCUUAGCUAGACAUAAAGGUUCUCCAAGUCCCCACUAGACUCAGGAGUCCAGCUGACUUCACCCAGUGGGUGCUGCACCUGGACCGCAGGUGGAGCUGCCUGCCAGUCUCGCCUAGUGUGCCCGCACUCCUCAGCCCUUGGGCGGUGGAUGGGACUGGGCGCGGUGGAGCAGGGGGCGGCGCUCGUUGGCGAGGCUCCCGCCGCGCAGGAGCCAACGUAGGGGAAGGCGCAGGCAUAAAGGGCUGCAGGUACCGAGCCCUGCCCUGCGGAGAGGCAGAGAUUGUUUUGCCAGAUUUUUAGAAAAGAGAGAUGAACACCUUUUAAACUCUGAAGAAAGAAAUGGGCUCAUUGGUAUGGAGCAGAAUGGAAUACUGGGGUAAUGAAGAUUGUAUGGUGUUGGCAUCAGUGGACCAAUGGAUCAAUGGAACAAAAUGAAGAGUUCAGAAAUAAAUCUACACAUCUACAGUCAACUGAUUUUCAAAAAAUAGCUGCCAAGAUGGUGUCAGAAAUGGUAUCCGAAUUAGAGCUUCCAGUGACCCCCAGGAGCAUCAAGUGACCAAGUGAGGUACCUGCAGGGCUCAUUGUGUCCAUUGCUCUUUCACAGCAACUGGGGAUGAUGAUAAGUUCUCUCUCAGAUUCAAAGCUCCACAUAUUUGUGUUUUGAGCUUUCUGAGUUUGUUUGAGCAAAUUUCUGAUCGAAACUAGGUUUGGAAGUCACAAAAAAACUGAAUUGGGUCCAGAAUCUGAUAAUUAACUGGCUUGGAUCUAGUUACAGGCCUCUUAUGUCUGAAUGGUUCAGACAGAAACCAGUAGAAAAUGGCAAUAUUUCAGGGGAUGCAAACUUUGGUUUUGGAAAUUUAUAGGGAUUUUUGUGUUCUACCUCCUUUGUUUUUCUUGUGUGCUGAGGUAGGAAAAAAUUACUGGCUAAGUUGAUUAAGAGGAUCUGAGAAUUAAAGCUAAGAUUCAAGAUAAAAAUGGGAUCCUUAUUUUCUUAAGAACUGAGUAAUGUAGCUUCUGACUAUGCCCACACUUACAUGUGUAAGUAUUAGGUUCUGGAAACAGCAAACACUUUUAGAAAUAGCAAAAUCUUACUAAAGGUAAUUUAAAAUUACAAUGCAACAUUCCAAAGAAACAACACUGCACUUGAAGAAGUGCAGUUGAAAAUGAGGGCUCACAACCCUAUGCACACAAAUUAGAAAAUCUAGAGGAAGUGGGUAAAUUCCUGGAAGGACACAAUCUUCCAAGACUGAAUCAGGAAGAGAUUGAAAACCUGAAUAGACCACUAUCGACUUCUGAAAUUGAAUCAGUAAUUAAGAACCUGCUAACCAAAAAAAGCCCUGGCUCAGAUGGAUUCACAGCUGAAUUCUACCAGACAUACAAAGAACUGAUACCAAUCCUACUGAAAUUAUUCAAAAAAUCAAAGAGGAGGGGUUCCUUUCUAAAUAUUCUAUGAAGCCAGCAUCAGCCUGGUACCCAAAUCUGGCAGAGACACAAUUAAAAAAGGAAACUUUAGACCCAUAUCUCUCAUGAAUAUAGACAUGAAAAUCCUCAACAAAAUACUAGAAAAUCAAAUCCAGCAGCAUAUUGAAAAGUUAGUAAAACAUGAUCAAGUAAGCUUUAUUCCUGGAAUGCAAGGCUGGUUCAACAUAUGCAAAUGAAUAAAUGUGAUUCACUACAUAAGCAGAAUCAAAAGCAAAAAUGAAAUUAUCUUCUCAAUAGAUGCAGAAAAAGCUUUUGAUGAAAUCCAACAUCCCUUCAUGUUAAAAACCCUCAACAGACUAGGCAAUGAAGGAACAUACUUCAAAAUAAUAAGAGCCAUCUAUGACAAACCCACAGCCAACAUCAUACUAAGUGGACAAUAGCUUGAAGCAUUUCCUUUGAGAACUGGAACAGAACCAAGAUGCACACUCUUACCACUCAUGUUCAACACAGUACUGGAAGUCAUAGCUGGAACAAUCAGGCAAGAGAAAGAAAUAAAAGGCAUCCAAAUAGGAAAGGAAGUCAAACUCUCCGUUUGCUGAUGACAUAAUUCUAUACCUAGAAAAUCCUAAAGACUUUGCCAAUAGUCUCCUAGAAUAGGUAAACACCUUUAGUAAAGUUUCAGGUUACAAAAUCAUUGUAUAAAAAUCAGUAGCAUUUUCUAUAUGCCAACAAAGUCCGGGCUGAGAGUGAAAUCAAGAACAUAAUCCCAUUUACAAUAGCCAAAAGAAAAUGAAAUAUCUAGGAAUACAGGUAGCCAAGGAGGCAAAAGAUCUCUACAAAGAGAACUACAAAACAUUGCAGAAGGAGAUCAGAGAUGACAUAAAUGGGGAAACAUUCCAUGCCAAUGAAUUGGAAGAAUCAGUUUCGUAAAAAUGGCCAUACUGUCCAAAGCAAUUUAAAGAUUCAACACUAUUCCUAUCAAACUACCAAAGCCGUUUUUCACAGAACAAAUGAUUCUAAAAUAAAUAUGGAACUGAAAAAGAGCCCCAAUAGCCAAAGCUAUCCUAAGCAAAAGAAUGAAGCCAGAGGUAUCACAUUACCCAACUUCAAGGCUACACUAUAUAAGGCUACACUACUCCUCCUCCUCCUACUACACUACUACUAUAAGGCUACAGUAACCAAAACAACUUAGUACUGGUACAGAAACAGACAAAGACAAAUGGAAGAGAAUAGAAAACUCAGAAAUAAAGAUGCACACCUACCACAAUCUGAUCUUCAACAAGGCUGACAAAAACAAGCCAUGGGGAAAGCACUUCCCAUUCAAUAAAUGUUGCUGAGAUAACUAGUUAGCCGUAUGCAGAAGAAUGAAACCAGACCCCUACCUUUCACCAUAUACAAAAAUUAACUCAAAAUGGAUUAAAGAUUUCAAUGAAGGUCCUCAAACUGUAAAGAUCCUGGAAGACAACCUAGGAAAUACUUAUCUCAAAGUCAGCCUUGGUAAAGAAUUUUUGGCUAAGUAUGAAAAGCCAUUGCAACAACAACAACAAAAAGACAAAAAGGAUCUAAUUAAACUAAAAAGCUUCUGCACAUCAAAAGAAACUAUGAACAAAGCAAACAGACAACCUGCAGAAUGAGAGACGAUAUCUGCAAACUGUGCAUCCAACAAUGGCCUAGUAUCCAGAAUCUAUAGGGAGCUUGAACAAAUCAACAGGCAAAACACCAAAUAACUUCAUUAAAAAAUGGGCAAAGGACAUGAAUACAUACUUCUCAAAAGACGACGUACAAGUCACCAACAAACAUGAAAAAAUGCUCAGCAUCACUAAUCAUCAGAGAAAUGCAAAUCAAACUGACAGUGAGAUAAAAUCUCACACCAGUCAGAAUGGCUGUUACUAAAAAUCCAAAAAACAACAGAUGCUGGUGAAGAUGUGGAGAAAAGUGGACGCUUAUACAUUGUUAGUGGGAAUUUAAAUUAGUUUAGCCACUGUGGAAAGCAAUCUGGAGAUUUCUCAAAGAACCUAAAACAGGGCUACCAUUCAUCUCAGCCAUACCAUUACCAGGUUUACACCCAAAAGAAAAUAAAUCAUUCUACCAAAAAGACACAUGCACUUUUCUGUUCAUUGUUGCACUAUUCACAGUAGCAAAGACAUGGGAUCAACCUAGCUGCCCAUCAGUGGUGGAUUGAAUAAAGAAAAUGCGGUAUAUACACACCACGGAAUAGUACACAGUUAUAAAAAAAUGAAAUCAUGGCCUUUGCAGCAACAUGGAUGGAGCUGGAGGCCAUAAUCCUCAGCAAAUUAAUGCAGAAACAGAAAAUUCAAAACUGCAUGUUCUUCCUUCUAAUUGGGAGCUAAGCAUUGAGAACACAUGGACAUAAAUAUUAGAAGGAUAGACACUGUGGACUACUUGAGCUUGGGAGUGGGUGGGUUGAAAAACUACCUAUUGAGUACUAUACUAUGCUUACUACCAGGGUGAGGGAACCUGUACUCCAAACUUCAGCAUCAUACAAUAUUCCUAUGUAACAAAUCUGUACAUGUACCCUGUAUUUAAAAUAAAAGUUGAAAUUAAAAAAAAAGAAAAGAGAAUGAAGCUUUCCAAAUUACUCUCAUCUAUGGAUGCCUACUGAUAUGCAGAAGCUUCUAAAGUAUUUCAGUAUUUUAAAUUAAAGACUCCUUAUAAAAGGCAAAUAAAAAUCUUAAAUAACUAAUAAGAAAAAUUAAAUCCGCUUAUUUUUUUGCUUAGUUACUAUACUGCCCCAAAGACAAAAAAGAAAGCUAUCCUGGAUAAAAAGUUUAUAUAAGGUAGGCCCUACAGCUGGGUAGAAAACCAAGUAGGCUUUCACGGUACCUGAUUUCAGGACUUGGUUUUUAGAUGGCAUUUCUGGACUUGCCUUAGGACAGAAGGGACCUCACUGCUCUAAAGGGUGAGUCCCAGGCCAGGCAGCAUUCACCACAAGCGGACUGAAGAGCCCUUGAGCCUUAAGGGAACAUGAUGGUAGUCUGGCAGUACUCCCUGUGGGCCUGAGGUGGCCGUGGCCGUGGGGUGAGGCUCACUGCAUUUGGAAAGGGGAGGGAAGCAUGGGAAGCACUGCAUCUUGUGGUUUGAGUGCCAGCUUAGCCACAGUACAAUAGAACACCAGGUAGAUUUCUAUGAUUUUUGACUCUAGUUUCUGGCUCCUGAAUGGCACCUCUGGACCCUCCUGGAGCUUGGGCUUGGAGAAACUCAUCACCCUCAAGGGAAGAACAUAGGCCUGGCUGGCUCUGUCACCAGCUAAUUGCAGAUCCUCAGGGCCUUGAAUGAACAUAGCCGGUAGCCAAAGAGUGGUUACAGCAGGGCUUGGGCAAGACCCAGUGCUCUGCUGGUUUCAGGUCUGACCCAGCACAGUUCUAGGGGUGAUGGCUACAGGGGUGCUUGUGUCAUUCCACCUCUAGCUCCAGGUGGCCCAGCACAGAGAGAGACUGGGACAAAGUAAAGGAAGAGAACCAGAGUCUCCAGUAAUCCAGAUAAUUCUUCUGGAUCUUGUCCAAGACUAUCAAGGCAGUACCUCUAUGAGUCUGCAAGAAUCAUAGUGGUACUGGUCUUGGGGUCCUCUCUAAAGCAGAUAUAGCUUAGAUCAUAACACCCAAGUCCUUUUGAAUAUCUGGAAAGGCUUCCCAGGAAGAAUGGGUAUAAAGAGCCCAGACUGCAAAGACUACAAUAAAUACCUAACUCUUCAAUGGCCAGACACAAAUGAACACCUACAAGUAUCCAGACAAUCCAGGAAAACAUGACUUCAGUGAAUAAACUAAAUAAGGCACCAGAAACCAAGCCUGGAGAAACAGGGAUAUGUGACCUUUCAGACAGAGAACUCAAAAUAGCUGUUUGAGGAAACCCAAAGAAAUUCAAGACAACACAGAGAAGAAAUUCAGGAUUCUAUUAGAUGAAUUUGACAAAGAGAUUAAAAUAAUUAAAAAGGAUCAGGCAGAAAUUCUGGAGUUGAAAAAUGCAGCUGGCAUGCUGAAGAAAUCAUCAGACUCAUUCAAUAGCAGAGUUGAUCAAGCAGAAAAAAGAAUCAGCGAGCUUGAAAACAGGCUAUUUGAAAAUACAGUCAGAGGAGACAAAAGCAAAAAGAAUAAAAAACCAUGAAGCAUGCCUACAGGAUCUAGAAAAUAGCCUCAAAAGGGCAAAUCUAAGAGUUAUUGGCUUUAAAGAGUAUGUAGAGAAAGAGAUGCGUAGAAACUUUAUUCAAAGGGAUAAUAACAGAGAGCUUCCUAAACCUAGAGAAAGAUAUCAGUAUCCAAGUACAAGAAGGUUACAGAACACCAAGCAGAUUUCAUGCAAAGAAGACUAACUCAAGGCAUCUGGUAAUUCAACUCGCAAAGGUCAAGGAUAAAAAAAGGUUCCAAAAAGCAGCAAGAGAAAAGAAACAAAUAAUGGAGCUCCAACACAUCUAGUGGCAGCCUUUUCAGUGGAAACCUUACAGGCCAAGAGAGAGUGGAAUGAAAUAUUUAAAGUGCUGAAGGGAAGAGAACUUUUAUGCUAGAAUAGUAUAUCUGGUGAAAAUAUCCUUCAAGAAUGAAGAAAAAGUAAAGACUUUCCUAGACAAAAAAAAGUUGAGGGAUUUUAUCAAUAUCAGAUUUUUUUACAAGAAAUGCUAAAGGGAGUACUUUAAUAAGAAAGAAAAGGACAUUAAUGAGCAAUAAAUAAUCACUUGAAGGUGCAAAAUUCACUAGUAAUAGUAAGUCUGCAGAAGAACAGAAUAUUAUAGCACUGUAAAUGUGGUGUGUAAACUACUGUUAUUUAAGGAGAAAGACUAAAUGACUUACCAAUCAAACAUAGUAACUACAACAACUUUUCAAGACAUAUUACAAUAAGAUUUAAAUAGUAACAAAAACUUAAAGCAGGGGCACAAAGUUAAUGCAUGAAGUCUUUGUAAAUUUUCUUUUUGUUAGUUUGUUUAUGCAAACAAUGUUAUUAUCAGCUUAAAAUAAUGGGUUAUAACGUAGUAUUUGCAAGCUUCAUGAUACCCUCAAAUCAAAAAACAUACAAUGGAGACACAAAAAAUAAAAAGCAACUAACUAAAUCAUAUCACCAAUGAAAGUUACCUUCACAGAAAGAAAGGCAUGAAGGAAAGAAAGAAGGGAGAGAAGACCAUAAAACAGCCAGAAAACAAAUCACAAAAUGGCAGGGGUAAGUCCUUACUUAUCUAUAAAUUGAAUGUAAAUGGACACAGUUCUUCAAAGGACACAGAGUAGCUGAAGGGAUAAAAAAAAACAAUGAGGCCAGGUGCGGUGGCUCACGCCUGUAAUCCCAGCACUUUGGGAGGCUGAGGCGGGCAUAUCACUUGGUCAAGAGGUCAAGACCAUCCUGGCCAACAUGGUAAAACCCUGUCUCUACUAAAAAUACAAAAAUUAGCUGGGCGUGGUGGUGCGUGUCUGUAGUCUCAGCUACUCAGGAGGCUGAGGCAGGAGAAUUGCUUGAAUCCAGGAGGCGGAGGUUGCAGCAAGCCAAGAUCGUGCCACUGUACUCCAGCCUGG